rnacentral:rRNA from 1 species
ACGCUAUGGGAGCGGCCGAUGUCCGAUUAGCUUGUUGGUGGGGUAAUGGCCUACCAAGGCGACGAUCGGUAGCUGGUCUGAGAGGAUGAUCAGCCACACUGGGACUGAGACACGGCCCAG